rnacentral:rRNA from 2 species
UGCAUGUGACAAGUAUAAGCAAUCUAUACAGUGAAUCUGCGAAUGGCUCAUUAGAUCAGUUAUCGUUUAUUUGAUAAUACCUUACUACUUGGAUAACCGUGGUAAUUCUAGAGCUAAUACAUGCUAAAAAUCCCGACUUCGGAAGGGAUGUAUUUAUUAGAUAAAAAACCAAUGUCUUCGGACUCCUUGGUGAUUCAUAAUAACUUAACGAAUCGCAUGGCCUUGCGCCGGCGAUGGUUCAUUCAAAUUUCUGCCCUAUCAACUUUCGAUGGUAGGAUAGUGGCCUACCAUGGUUUCAACGGGUAACGGGGAAUUAGGGUUCUAUUCCGGAGAGGGAGCCUGAGAAACGGCUACCACAUCCAAGGAAGGCAGCAGGCGCGCAAAUUACCCAAUCCCAAUUCGGGGAGGUAGUGACAAUAAAUACUGAUACAGGGCUCUUUUGGGUCUUGUAAUUGGAAUGAGUACAAUUUAAAUCCCUUAACGAGGAACAAUUGGAGGGCAAGUCUGGUGCCAGCAGCCGCGGUAAUUCCAGCUCCAAUAGCGUAUAUUAAAGUUGUUGCAGUUAAAAAGCUCGUAGUUGAACCUUGGGUCUGGCUGCUCGGUCCGCCUAACCGCGUGCACUGAUGCGGCCGGUCCUUUCCUUCUGGCUAACCUCAUGCUCUUAAUUGGGUGUGUUGGGGAUCCAGGACUUUUACUUUGAAAAAAUUAGAGUGUUCAAAGCAGGCCUAUGCUCGAAUACAUUAGCAUGGAAUAAUAGAAUAGGACGGCGGUUCUAUUUUGUUGGUUUCUAGAGCCACCGUAAUGAUUAAUAGGGAUAGUCGGGGGCAUCAGUAUUCAAUUGUCAGAGGUGAAAUUCUUGGAUUUAUUGAAGACUAACUACUGCGAAAGCAUUUGCCAAGGAUGUUUUCAUUAAUCAGUGAACGAAAGUUAGGGGAUCGAAGACGAUUAGAUACCGUCGUAGUCUUAACCAUAAACUAUGCCGACUAGGGAUCGGGCGAUGUUUAAUUUAUGACUCGCUCGGCACCUUACGAGAAAUACAAAGUUUGAGGAUCUGGUGUAGUUGUUGCAUCCCUC